rfam:Perkinsus marinus ATCC 50983 gcontig_1104296571538, whole genome shotgun sequence.
AAGGCCUGAUGUGUGUGAGAUUACCCGCUGAAUUUAAGCAUAUAAGUAAGCGGAGGAAAAGAAACUAACUAGGAUUCCCUUAGUAAUGGCGAAUGAACAGGGAUCAGCUCAGUGCCAAAUCGGAAUCACUUGUGGUUCUGAAA